AAUAAUACAGGAGCUUGAAACAUGACUGUUAUUUAGAACGCACCAGGUUUAAAGGUUGGAAAUCUGAAAAGGAAGAGUCUAAACUAGGACUUUCACUUUGGAUUUUGUUGUCAAAAACAUUGGUUGAACAAAAUAAUAAGAUGUCGUGUUGAUGACAAAGCCUAAAUCAACAAGCAAGUAAUGAUCACCAGGCAAUAGAAAGAGGUUGCCUCGGGAAGAGAGCC
rnacentral:lncRNA from 1 species